rnacentral:lncRNA from 1 species
UGGAGAUGGAGCACACUCAGCAUCUUGCCCCAUCCUGAAGCCUGUCAGGAACACAAGUGCAUAGUGAAGUCUCAGGGCUGGAGUUAACAGGACCCAAAUGACCCUUCUAAGAAAGGCCCUCACCUCCUCGAAGAACUGUUGCUGUAACCUCUCGCUUUGUGGUCAGUGUGUAUGAGUAAAGGAACCAAGUGCUGAUCUGUACCAAAUUUUAGAGGGCAAACUCAAUGACAAUGGACCACUGACUACAGCUGAAAGCAACUAUUACCUUCUUUAAUGAAAGCUACAACACUCUGAAUUAAGCUGUAGCUGACAAGCGUUGCAACUCUCUCAAACAGAAAUUCCUUCACAAACUGCAGUGAUGGCAGCUUCUUAAGCUGUGCCAUCAGUUCUACAAGGCCAAAAUUCAGUGCUCAAGCAGCCUGCUUGGAGGUUAAAAGGGGAUAUACAUCCAUCUACUGACGAGACAAACACUUUCUUUGUAUUGUUUCUGAUUAUGAGAAAGUGACAAGAAGCCAAAGAAAUUACGAAAAGUGACGGCUCUGUUUUGCCAUAAGUAGGCAAGAAAAGAAAUGGUAAGGUAUCUUGGUUAAAUGUUACUUAUCUCUUGACAGAAGAAAGCUUUUGCUUGAUUUAAAGUCUGCUGUGUGAGGAAACAUUUCAUCACACCAAAGAUAGACAUUUUGCAUCAAAAGAAAUGAAGAAAUGUAACUAGACUGUCAAGGGAGGUGAUUGUCCCCAUCUACUCUGCUCUUAUGAAG